GCCACCGUAGCUCAGCGGCAGAGCAGCGGUUUCGUAAACCGCGUGUCGUGGGUUCGAGUCCCACCGGUGGCUCCA
rnacentral:tRNA from 2 species